AGAACGGUAAGCUAUUUAAGCUAAUGGGCUCAUACCCCACUGAUAGAGUAUACUCUCCAUUCUA
rnacentral:tRNA from 1 species